rnacentral:rRNA from 1 species
GUCCACGCCGUAAACGUUGGGCACUAGGUGUGGGUCUCAACCAACGAGAUCCGCGCCGUCGCAAACGCAUUAAGUGCCCCGCCUGGGGAGUACGGCCGCAAGGUUAAAACUCAAAGGAAUUGACGGGGGCCCCGCACAAGCAGCGGAGCGUGUUGCUUAAUUCGAUGCAACGCGAAGAACCUUACCUGGGCUUGACAUGUACGGAAAAGCCGUAGAGAUACGGUGUCCUUCGGGUCGUACACAGGUGGUGCAUGGCUGUCGU